rnacentral:rRNA from 1 species
UACGAAGGGGCUAGCGUUGCUCGGAAUCACUGGGCGUAAAGCGCACGUAGGCGGGUCGUUAAGUCAGGGGUGAAAUCCUGGAGCUCAACUCCAGAACUGCCUUUGAUACUGAAGAUCUUGAGUCCGGGAGAGGUGAGUGGAACUGCGAGUGUAGAGGUGAAAUUCGUAGAUAUUCGCAAGAACACCAGUGGCGAAGGCGGACUCACUGGCCCGGUACUGACGCUGAGGAGCGAAAGCG